AACACUAUACUUUCAGGGAUCCUGUCUACAGGUCCUUACUAGAGAAGUUUCUCUGGCUGUGCAGAGAUCUGGAAACCACGAGAAGGAGGUGCAGCGUUCUCUCCUGGGUGUGACGCUGGCCCUGGCUGCUGUUUGUGCCACUGCUCAGAGCCGGGGAUGACCACUGCUCUCUCCCCUGGCAGAGCUAGAGGGCGAAAACACACUAUGAAUGGA
ensembl:snoRNA U3 Small nucleolar RNA U3